rnacentral:rRNA from 1 species
GAUGAACGCUGGCGGCGUGCCUAAUACAUGCAAGUCGAGCGAACGGACGAGAAGCUUGCUUCUCUGAUGUUAGCGGCGGACGGGUGAGUAACACGUGGAUAACCUACCUAUAAGACUGGGAUAACUUCGGGAAACCGGAGCUAAUACCGGAUAAUAUUUUGAACCGCAUGGUUCAAAAGUGAAAGACGGUCUUGCUGUCACUUAUAGAUGGAUCCGCGCUGCAUUAGCUAGUUGGUAAGGUAACGGCUUACCAAGGCAACGAUGCAUAGCCGACCUGAGAGGGUGAUCGGCCACACUGGAACUGAGACACGGUCCAGACUCCUACGGGAGGCAGCAGUAGGGAAUCUUCCGCAAUGGGCGAAAGCCUGACGGAGCAACGCCGCGUGAGUGAUGAAGGUCUUCGGAUCGUAAAACUCUGUUAUUAGGGAAGAACAUAUGUGUAAGUAACUGUGCACAUCUUGACGGUACCUAAUCAGAAAGCCACGGCUAACUACGUGCCAGCAGCCGCGGUAAUACGUAGGUGGCAAGCGUUAUCCGGAAUUAUUGGGCGUAAAGCGCGCGUAGGCGGUUUUUUAAGUCUGAUGUGAAAGCCCACGGCUCAACCGUGGAGGGUCAUUGGAAACUGGAAAACUUGAGUGCAGAAGAGGAAGGUGGAAUUCCAUGUGUAGCGGUGAAAUGCGCAGAGAUAUGGAGGAACACCAGUGGCGAAGGCGACUUUCUGGUCUGUAACUGACGCUGAUGUGCGAAAGCGUGGGGAUCAAACAGGAUUAGAUACCCUGGUAGUCCACGCCGUAAACGAUGAGUGCUAAGUGUUAGGGGGUUUCCGCCCCUUAGUGCUGCAGCUAACGCAUUAAGCACUCCGCCUGGGGAGUACGACCGCAAGGUUGAAACUCAAAGGAAUUGACGGGGACCCGCACAAGCGGUGGAGCAUGUGGUUUAAUUCGAAGCAACGCGAAGAACCUUACCAAAUCUUGACAUCCUUUGACAACUCUAGAGAUAGAGCUUUCCCCUUCGGGGGACAAAGUGACAGGUGGUGCAUGGUUGUCGUCAGCUCGUGUCGUGAGAUGUUGGGUUAAGUCCCGCAACGAGCGCAACCCUUAAGCUUAGUUGCCAUCAUUAAGUUGGGCACUCUAAGUUGACUGCCGGUGACAAACCGGAGGAAGGUGGGGAUGACGUCAAAUCAUCAUGCCCCUUAUGAUUUGGGCUACACACGUGCUACAAUGGACAAUACAAAGGGCAGCGAAACCGCGAGGUCAAGCAAAUCCCAUAAAGUUGUUCUCAGUUCGGAUUGUAGUCUGCAACUCGACUACAUGAAGCUGGAACCGCUAGUAAUCGUAGAUCAGCAUGCUACGGUGAAUACGUUCCCGGGUCU